rnacentral:rRNA from 1 species
GACGAACGCUGGCGGCGUGCUUAACACAUGCAAGUCGAACGGAAAGGCCCUGCUUUUGUGGGGUGCUCGAGUGGCGAACAGGUGAGUAACACGUGAGUAACCUGCCCUUGACUUUGGGAUAACUUCAGGAAACUGGGGCUAAUACCGGAUAGGAGCUCCUGCUGCAUGGUGGGGGUUGGAAAGUUUCGGCGGUUGGGGAUGGACUCGCGGCUUAUCAGCUUGUUGGUGGGGUAGUGGCUUACCAAGGCUUUGACGGGUAGCCGGCCUGAGAGGGUGACCGGCCACAUUGGGACUGAGAUACGGCCCAGACUCCUACGGGAGGCAGCAGUGGGGAAUAUUGCACAAUGGGCGGAAGCCUGAUGCAGCAACGCCGCGUGCGGGAUGACGGCCUUCGGGUUGUAAACCGCUUUCGCCUGUGACGAAGCGUGAGUGACGGUAAUGGGUAAAGAAGCACCGGCUAACUACGUGCCAGCAGCCGCGGUGAUACGUAGGGUGCGAGCGUUGUCCGGAUUUAUUGGGCGUAAAGGGCUCGUAGGUGGUUGAUCGCGUCGGAAGUGUAAUCUUGGGGCUUAACCCUGAGCGUGCUUUCGAUACGGGUUGACUUGAGGAAGGUAGGGGAGAAUGGAAUUCCUGGUGGAGCGGUGGAAUGCGCAGAUAUCAGGAGGAACACCAGUGGCGAAGGCGGUUCUCUGGGCCUUUCCUGACGCUGAGGAGCGAAAGCGUGGGGAGCGAACAGGCUUAGAUACCUGGGUAGUCCACGCUGUAAACGGUGGGUACUAGGUGUGGGGUCCAUUCCACGGGUUCCGUGCCGUAGCUAACGCUUUAAGUACCCCGCCUGGGGAGUACGGCCGCAAGGCUAAAACUCAAAGGAAUUGACGGGGCCCCGCACAAGCGGCGGAGCAUGCGGAUUAAUUCGAUGCAACGCGUAGAACCUUACCUGGGUUUGACAUGGAUCGGGAGUGCUCAGAGAUGGGUGUGCCUCUUUUGGGGUCGGUUCACAGGUGGUGCAUGGCUGUCGUCAGCUCGUGUCGUGAGAUGUUGGGUUAAGUCCCGCAACGAGCGCAACCCUUGUUCACUGUUGCCAGCACGUUAUGGUGGGGACUCAGUGGAGACCGCCGGGGUCAACUCGGAGGAAGGUGGGGAUGACGUCAAGUCAUCAUGCCCCUUAUGUCCAGGGCUUCACGCAUGCUACAAUGGCUGGUACAGAGAGUGGCGAGUCUGUGAGGGUGAGCGAAUCUCGGAAAGCCGGUCUCAGUUCGGAUUGGGGUCUGCAACUCGACCUCAUGAAGUCGGAGUCGCUAGUAAUCGCAGAUCAGCAACGCUGCGGUGAAUACGUUCCCGGGGCU